CCUACGGGGAGCAGCAGUGAGGAAUAUUGGUCAAUGGGCGCGAGCCUGAACCAGCCAAGUCGCGUGAGGGAAGACGGUCCUAUGGAUUGUAAACCUCUUUUGUCGGGGAGCAAAAGACGCCACGCGUGGCGUUCCGAGAGUACCCGAAGAAAAAGCAUCGGCCAACUCCGUGCCAGCAGCCGCGGUAAUACGGAGGAUGCGAGCGUUAUCCGGAUGUAUUGGGUUGAAGGGGUGCGCAGGCGGAAGAUCAAGUCAGCGGUAAAAUUGAGAGGCUCAACCUCUUCGAGCCGUUGAAACUGGUUUUCUUGAGUGAGCGAGAAGUAUGCGGAAUGCGUGGUGUAGCGGUGAAAUGCAUAGAUAUCACGCAGAACUACGAUUGCGAAGGCAGCAUACCGGCGCUCAACUGACGCUCAUGCACGAAAGUGUGGGUAUCGAACAGGAUUAGAUACCCUGGUAGUC
rnacentral:rRNA from 1 species